rnacentral:rRNA from 1 species
UACGUAGGUCCCGAGCGUUGUCCGGAUUUAUUGGGCGUAAAGCGAGCGCAGGUGGUUUAUUAAGUCUGGUGUAAAAGGCAGUGGCUCAACCAUUGUAUGCAUUGGAAACUGGUAGACUUGAGUGCAAGAGAGGAGAGUGGAAUUCCAUGUGUAGCGGUGAAAUGCGUAGAUAUAUGGAGGAACACCGGUGGCGAAAGCGGCUCUCUGGCCUGUAACUGACACUGAAGCUCGAAAGCGUGGGGAGCAAACAGG